rnacentral:rRNA from 1 species
AGCGAACGCUGGCGGCAGGCCUAACACAUGCGAGUCGAACGAACCUUUCGGGGUUAGUGGCGGACGGGUGAGUAACACGUGGGAACGUGCCUUUAGGUUCGGAAUAACUCAGGGAAACUUGUGCUAAUUCCGAAUGUGCCCUUCGGGGGAAAGAUUUAUCGCCUUUAGAGCGGCCCGCGUCUGAUUAGCUAGUUGGUUGAGGUAAUGGCUCACCAAGGCGACGAUCAGUAGCUGGUCUGAGAGGAUGAUCAGCCACAUUGGGACUGAGACACGGCCCAAACUCCUACGGGAGGCAGCAGUGGGGAAUCUUGCGCAAUGGGCGAAAGCCUGACGCAGCCAUGCCGCGUGAAUGAUGAAGGUCUUAGGAUUGUAAAAUUCUUUCACCGGGGACGAUAAUGACGGUACCCGGAGAAGAAGCCCCGGCUAACUUCGUG